rnacentral:misc_RNA from 1 species
GAAAUGCGAUAAGUAAUGUGAAUUGCAGAAUUCAGUGAAUCAUCGAAUCUUUGAACGCACCUUGCGCUCCUUGGUAUUCCUUGGAGCAUGCCCGUUUGAGUAUCAUGAAAUCUUCAAAGUAAAUCUUUUGUUAACUCAAUUGGUUUCUACUUUGGUAUUGGAGGUCUUUGCAGCUUCACACCUGCUCCUCUUUGUUCAUUAGCUGGAUCUCAGUGUUAUGCUUGGUUCCACUCGGCGUGAUAAGUUAUCUAUCACUGAGGACACUGUAAAAGGUGGCCAAGGUAAAUGCAGAUGAACCGCUUCUAAUAGUCCAUUGACUUGGACAAUACUUUUAUGAUCUGAUCUCAAAUCAGGUAGGACUACCCGCUGAACUUAAGC